CACAAUCAGUGCGUUCAGUAAGUAUAACGUUUCAAGAUGGCGGAGCGAAUUGCAUGGUUGUUGUUUCUACUCGAUGGAUUCGCAUAUAAUUCGGAAAUAGAUCAGAUUGGGAUCAAUAACUUUAUUGCAUACGAUCAUUUACAUGUAUUACCAGGUGUGUGUUGCCAGUAAUGAUUGAAGAUAUGCCAAACAAAUUGUGGCUCUCUAUACAGACAGAUUUCAGGUCUCAAUUUCGACUUCAAAGGUCAACAUAUCACUGAUAUCAGGAAUUCUGUGAAUUUGUGGCACCAUGUAUGGAACGUGAGCGCAAAAUGUCUGUUGGAAAAAGGAUAUUGGAAUAAGCAAAGGGACUCAACAUUACACAGUCAUUUCAACAUGUAGAGUCUUGUCAGCAAUGAUGGAGCAGUACAUCAGAUUUCCAGAAUCUCGUCAUGAGCUUAAGAUCAUUGCCUAUGGAUUUCAUCAAUGAUGUAAAAUGAUUGGACUGUUGAAUGAUGGAACCCACAGUGCAUGUCCUGCUUCAACAUCUGAGCAUAGGUCCUUGUUUAUCGGCAGUUUAGUUCUUCAAGCAGUCUGUGACAGUAACUUUAAAUGUUUGGACAUAUGCCCUGGAUGGCCAAGUUCUGUGCAUGAUGCCCAUUUAAAUAGGAACGGCCCAGUGGCGCAUUAAAUGGACAAUCGUUCGAAUGUUCUGGAGGAUUCAGCUUACCGCCUGACAAGAAAUCUUGCUUUUUGUUCCGUAUCGAGGCCAUGGACAUUUGUAUCAUUUGCAAAAAGAUACUGCGAUAUUUGUGCCUUUGUUCAUGCUUUAUAGUUGAUUCACAAUUGGAAGCCAUAACCUGUUUUAUAGGAUGGUGUUAGUGGGACAAUGAAUUUUGUAAAGAUUUAAAGACUGGAAAAGAUAAUUAAAAGUCAAAAGAGUUCUGCUAUUGUUAAGCAUGCUUUAUUGAUUUGUAAUGUUAUAAAAAUAGCAUUAUUAACAGAAUAAAAUGUCCAUAAUUUGAAUAUUCUUCUGUUUUCAGCAACAUUUAAUUUGAUAUAGUACAAAAUGCUGCAUCAUGUUAUAUCAUGAUCCGUUUUGUGAACAAUGACCUUUCAAUGUAUAUUUAAUAAUUUGUCAAUGGGUGUUACACGCAUUAGCCCUA